rnacentral:rRNA from 1 species
CCUACGGGGGGCAGCAGUCGAGAAUCAUUCACAAUGGACGAAAGUCUGAUGGUGCAACGCCGCGUGGAGGAUGACGGUCCUAGGAUUGUAAACUCCUGUCAUUGGGGAGUAAGACUUGGUUGUUAAUAGCCUCCAAGUUUGAUAGUACCCAAAGAGGAAGGGACGGCUAACUUCGUGCCAGCAGCCGCGGUAAUACGAAGGUCCCAAGCGUUGUUCGGAAUCACUGGGCGUAAAGCGUGUGUAGGCUGCGCGGAAAGUCAAAUGUGAAAGCCCGGGGCUCAACCUCGGAACUGCAUUCGAUACUCCCGUGCUAGAGUCAUGGAGAGGUCAGUGGAAUUCCCGGUGUAGCAGUGAAAUGCGUGGAUAUCGGGAGGAACAUCAAUGGCGAAGGCAACUGACUGGACAUGUACUGACGCUCAGACACGAAGGCCAGGGUAGCGAAAGGGAUUAGAUACCCCCGUAGUC